GACGAACGCUGGCGGCGUGCUUAACACAUGCAAGUCGAACGGAAAGGCCCUGCUUUUGUGGGUUGCUCGAGUGGCGAACGGGGGAGUAAAACGUGAGUAACCUGCCCUUGACUUUGGGAUAACUUCAGGAAACUGGGGCUAAUACCGGAUAGGAGCUCCUGCUGCAUGGGGGGGGUUGGAAAGUUUCGGCGGUUGGGGAUGGACUCGCGGCUUAUCAGCUUGUUGGUGGGGUAGUGGCUUACCAAGGCUUUGACGGGUAGCCGGCCUGAGAGGGUGACCGGCCACAUUGGGACUGAGAUACGGCCCAGACUCCUACGGGAGGCAGCAGUGGGGAAUAUUGCACAAUGGGCGGAAGCCUGAUGCAGCAACGCCGCGUGCGGGAUGACGGCCUUCGGGUUGUAAACCGCUUUCGCCUGUGACGAAGCGUGAGUGACGGUAAUGGGUAAAGAAGCACCGGCUAACUACGUG
rnacentral:rRNA from 1 species